AGAUGUGAACACCAUCGGGUUGCAACAUCUGUCAUUGCAUUGAUCCACAUAGAGUUGCUCUGACUAAUCUGCCUGGCUAGACAUGUGUCCUCCUUCUACUGUGCCACUUCAUGUGUGAGCCACCAAGAACUGCUUGCUUGAUGAAAGGUCCUAUCUGUCUUUGGGUGUUGUCUGCAUAUCAUGUCAUAGUGCCUAGGUUUGAUACCCUGUGUGAGUUUCUGACUCUAGCUUCCUGCUAAUGCAGACUUGGAAGGCAACAAAUGAUAGCUUCAGUACUUGGGUUCUUGUUUGGGGAAGUGAACCAACAG
rnacentral:sRNA from 1 species